UUGGUUGAUUUGAUUGAAGUUGAUCAUUAUUUUUCUAAUAAAUGCUAGAGGAUUUAGGACUGAUUGGAAAGUUUGGAUGUUAGUGCGCUGUGCUAGUCAGUGGUGGGAACCUCUACUUUAUGUCAUUGUCACUGCUAGGGUCGUUUGGAAAUUCUCGUGUCUGUGCAUGUAAAAUGAAACAUUUGGAUUCUAGUGUUGAAUUGUGAAUCUUCUGAUUGUACCUUAAAUAAUUCAGUUGGUAAGGACUGAAGAGUCAUUGUCUCGGAGUGUAGUUUGGUCGCC
rnacentral:lncRNA from 1 species